CUCGGCCUGGCCGGGGCGCUCCUGCUGGCCCUGGCGCUGCCGCCGCUGGUGAUCGCGUGGAUGGGCAUCGUGCUGCUGUUCGGGCUGGUGGUCCGGCU
rnacentral:tRNA from 1 species